GAUGAACGCUGGCGGCGUGCCUAAUACAUGCAAGUCGAGCGAACAGACGAGGAGCUUGCUCCUCUGACGUUAGCGGCGGACGGGUGAGUAACACGUGGAUAACCUACCUAUAAGACUGGGAUAACUUCGGGAAACCGGAGCUAAUACCGGAUAACAUGUUGAACCGCAUGGUUCAACAGUGAAAGACGGUCUUGCUGUCACUUAUAGAUGGAUCCGCGCCGCAUUAGCUAGUUGGUAAGGUAACGGCUUACCAAGGCAACGAUGCGUAGCCGACCUGAGAGGGUGAGCGGCCACACUGGAACUGAGACACGGUCCAGACUCCUACGGGAGGCAGCAGUAGGGAAUCUUCCGCAAUGGGCGAAAGCCUGACGGAGCAACGCCGCGUGAGUGAAGAAGGUCUUCGGAUCGUAAAACUCUGUUAUUAGGGAAGAACAAAUGUGUAAGUAACGAUGCACGUCUUGACGGUACCUAAUCAGAAAGCCACGGCUAACUACGU
rnacentral:rRNA from 1 species